rnacentral:sRNA from 1 species
CUUGGUCAUUUAGAGGAAGUAAAAGUCGUAACAAGGUUUCCGUAGGUGAACCUGCGGAAGGAUCAUUACACAUUCGGGGCGCUUCGGCGCUCCUUAUACACCCACCCUCUGCCUACGUGUACCUCUAUAGCUUCCUCGGCGGGCUCGCCCGCCGCCAGGAACCCACGAAACCCCCUUGCAUUAUACGCGAAAACUUCUGAUAACAAACCUAAAUUAUCACAACUUUCAACAAUGGAUCUCUUGGUUCUGGCAUCGAUGAAGAACGCAGCGAAAUGCGAUAAGUAGUGUGAAUUGCAGAAUUCAGUGAAUCAUCGAAUCUUUGAACGCACAUUGCGGCCAUAGGUAUUCCUUUGGCCAUGCCUGUUCGAGCGUCAUUUACACCCUCAAGCCUAGCUUGGUGUUGGGCGUCUGUCCCGCCGUUUUCGCGCGCGGACUCGCCUCAAAGUCAUUGGCGGCGGUCGUGCCGGCCCCCUCGCGCAGCACAUUUGCGCUUCUCGGAGGCCCGGCGGAUCCGCGCUCCAGCAAGACCUUUCACGACUUGACCUCGGAUCAGGUAGGGAUACCCGCUGAACUUAAGCAUAUCAAUAAGCGGAGGAAAAGAAACCAACAGGGAUUGCCCUAGUAACGGCGAGUGAAGCGGCAACAGCUCAAAUUUGAAAUCUGGCCCCUUUGGGGUCCGAGUUGUAAUUUGCAGAGGGUGCUUUGGCGUUGGCGGCGGUCUAAGUUCCUUGGAACAGGACAUCGCAGAGGGUGAGAAUCCCGUAUGUGGUCGCAUGCCUUCGCCGUGUAAAGCCCCUUCGACGAGUCGAGUUGUUUGGGAAU